rnacentral:rRNA from 1 species
AAUUCAGAAGUUGAUCAUGGUUCAGAACGAACGCUGGCGGCAAGCUUAACACAUGCAAGUCGAACGGACCGUACGCGCAGCUUGCUGCGUGUAUGGUUAGUGGCAGACGGGUGAGUAAUGCAUAGGAAUCUGCCUAGUAGUAUAGGAUAGCCACUAGAAAUGGUGGGUAAUACUGUAUAAUCCCUGCGGGGGAAAGAUUUAUCGCUACUAGAUGAGCCUAUGUCAGAUUAGCUAGUUGGUGGGGUAAUGGCCCACCAAGGCUGUGAUCUGUAGCUGGUCUGAGAGGAUGAUCAGCCACACUGGAACUGAGACACGGUCCAGACUCCUACGGGAGGCAGCAGUGGGGAAUAUUGGACAAUGGGCGCAAGCCUGAUCCAGCUAUGCCGCGUGAGUGAGGAAAGCCUUAGGGUUGUAAAACUCGUUCAGUAGGGAAGAUAAU